AUUGAACGCCGGCGGCAGGCUUAACACAUGCAAGUCGAGCGGGGGAAGGUAGCUUGCUACCGGACCUAGCGGCGGACGGGUGAGUAAUGCUUAGGAAUCUGCCUAUUAGUGGGGGACAACAUCUCGAAAGGGAUGUUAAUACCGCAUACGUCCUACGGGAGAAAGCAGGGGAUCUUCGGACCUUGCGCUAAUAGAUGAGCCUAAGUCGGAUUAGCUAGUUGGUGGGGUAAAGGCCUACCAAGGCGACGAUCUGUAGCGGGUCUGAGAGGAUGAUCCGCCACACUGGGACUGAGACACGGCCCAGACUCCUACGGGAGGCAGCAGUGGGGAAUAUUGGACAAUGGGGGGAACCCUGAUCCAGCCAUGCCGCGUGUGUGAAGAAGGCCUUAUGGUUGUAAAGCACUUUAAGCGAGGAGGAGGCUACUCUAGUUAAUACCUAGGGAUAGUGGACGUUACUCGCAGAAUAAGCACCGGCUAACUCUGUGCCAGCCGCCGCCGUAA
rnacentral:rRNA from 1 species